rnacentral:rRNA from 1 species
UCGAGAAUCUUCGGCAAUGGACGCAAGUCUGACCGAGCGACGCCGCGUGCGGGAUGAAUGCCUUCGGGUUGUAAACCGCAGUCGGAGGGGAGGAAAUCCUUGGGGGCUAUCCCCCUUGGUUGACCUAUCCUCGACGAAGGACGGGCUAAGUUCGUGCCAGCAGCCGCGGUAAUACGAACCGUCCAAACGUUAUUCGGAAUCAUUGGGCUUAAAGGGUGCGUAGGCGGUGCAGUAAGUUGGGUGUGAAAUCCCUCGGCUCAACCGAGGAACUGCGCCCAAUACUGCUGUGCUUGAGGGAGACAGGGGCGAGCGGAACUGAUGGUGGAGCGGUGAAAUGCGUUGAUAUCAUCAGGAACACCAGUGGCGAAGGCGGCUCGCUGGGUCUCUUCUGACGCUGAGGCACGAAAGCUAGGGUAGCGAACAGGAUUAGAUACCCCCGUAGUCC